rnacentral:tRNA from 1 species
AAGGAUGGGUCUUCAACAGCUUGCUGUUAUCGACCUGUUUUAGAAACAUCAGAGGCUCUAAGUCAUACGAGCCUCAUUGGCGGGAUUUCGCCGUCUUCGUUUCUCUUUCUUCGCGGACGAACACGCGCCUGGGGUGGCGCGCGCAUUCGGCUUGUCGGCAUUGUCGUUGAUCGAUGGUGCCGGUGCUGCGUGCCGCAAGCUGCCUCACGUGCUGAGGGCUUGUAGCUCAGUUGGUUAGAGCGCGCGCUUGAUAAGCGUGAGGUCGGAAGUUCAAGUCUUCCCAGGCCCACCAUUUUGUCGAGCGCUGCAUUCGUCUUCUGGUUACGGGGCCAUAGCUCAGCUGGGAGAGCGCGUGCUUUGCAAGCAUGAGGUCGUCGGUUCGAUCCCGUCUGGCUCCACCAGAUGGUCGAUUGACGUUAGAUCUCGGCUCGCGCCUCGUUGCUGUCAUUCGGACAGCGACGGUGGCUCAUCGUCCGCAACUUGUAUUCGCCGGCUUUGCGCAAUGCGCAGCCUGGCGGGUUUUCUGACAUCGUGAAGAGGAGAUCGAUCCGGGUUCGGGUCUUGCGGAGCAAUCUGCGGGGCUUGAUCGCGUAUCUCCGGAGCGUUUUCGGCGCCUGGUUGUUGCAAAACGGCCGGGUUGUAAAACGCUUCUUGUUGACGACGCUUGACCGCAUCGUCAUCGGGUCGAUCUUACGAAGCAAUAACUGGUCUUUCUAAUCAGUGUCCGUUUGCGGCGUCGUCUUUGAAGGUUCGUCCUUCGGGAUGUGCUGCGAGCAACAUUCUGCCGAGUGUGUGGACAUUGAUAAUGAGAGCAAUCAA